GCAAAGCUACUAUUUACUGAGCAUUUCCCAUAAGGUCAAAAGAACCACUUGGAACACUCAUUCAGCAUACAGAUUCUGAGCCCCUCCCUGAAGAUCUGAUUCACUAGGCUUGGUGUAAAGUCCUGGAACCCAUAGAUUUAACAGGAGCCCUCCACUGGCAUAUAUUAUGGGAAAUAGUUUGGGAAGUAGUGCUUUACAUGAUUUAUGUCAAGUAAUUAUUACAAUUGCUCUCUGAAGCCGCUACCAUGAUUAUCUCAAUUUUACAGAUGAAGAAACCAGCUCAGAGUAUAAGAUAUGGUAUACCUAAGUCAAAUAGUUAAUAAACAGGAGCGCUGCUGACUCUGGCACCCAGGACUGCUUGUCUUCAAAGCCAGGACUCCGACUACUGAAGGCCCAAGACUCUUGGCGGUCUGAAUCUGGGGUCCCAGCUGCCUUGCCAGGAUGGCAGAUAUCUCUCCACUAAUGCAGGUGUCUUAGAAGUUCCAGUGGCUAGAAUUCCAAGAUCAAGGUGUCAGCAGCAUGGUUCUUUCUGAGAGCUGUGAAGAAGAAUCCGUUCCAUGCCUCUCCCCCAGUUUCUGGUGGUGUGCUGGCAGUCUUUGGCAUUCUUUGGCCUGCAGACGCAUCACCCUAAUCUCAGCCCAGCUCCGGAACGCCUUUCCCAUGUUUGGUGUGUUUUCUACCUAAUGAGUUUUGAUGGAAGUGAAGGCUGUUAUUUACCUCUGGAAGCUAAAAAUACCAGCUCCCUGGUCAUCUCAGAGUUGGUUUCCGAUGCAACUAAAAACAUCAACUGAUAUGAGGUCCAAAAGAUGGAAUUUUAAGCACCAAAGACGCUCCCUUAUGGGCAAAGUCUCAAUAGGACAUCUGCAUGUUCAGUUGAGAUUCUGCUUUCCCCUCAGAUGACAGAAUUAUUGGCAACCAGUUAAAUUGACGCAAUUGGAAACCCAGAAACAUGAUCAACAAAGAUAAGGAGAUGGAGAUACCAGUCACCCCUAUCAAAGUGGCAAGUGGGAGGGGGAUGCUGGUUGGUCUGUCGGAGCUGACGAAGGAAUGGGAUUGGAAUGUUUCUUUUACCAAUUAUGUAAACACAGCCUGGAGUUCCGAGAUGAGUCCAUCUCACUUGCUCAGAACUUUGCCUGGUGAGAGCGGUUACAAGCGAACAAGGUGGAAAUGAAAGAAACCCUGACUUUCCCACUAGGAAGGAAGAGACUGUUCCUUCUUGUGAUGUACUCUGAAGAAAAAUUCUAGGAUUUGGACAGAUUUCUUGGGUUAUAAAACAUGAUUUUCUUCUCUGUUUCUUGGGCUUUUAUAAUGGGUACUGUUGUUUUCUUGCAAAGCUUUAAUGAUUCCAUAAGGACUUGUAUAAAGUUUAUGGGAGAAUUUUCAAUGUAGAUGUGAAUGGCAGAAACCCAAGAAUCUGUGUGAGGUUGAAUAAGAUCCUGUGUCUCCAGAGAGGUCUGAUGGGGAGACACAGAUCUAAAUUUUAAAGGUGGUUUGGGCCUUCUCAAUCAUAUAUUAAGGUCCUUUUAUGUUAUAGAUAAGUAAAUUAAGGCCCAGAAAGAUUAAUAGCCCAAGGUCCCAAGACCUGCUUGAGACCUGUGCCCCAUUUCUGACUAAUAUUCUUCAUGAUAUUGUAUCACUCUGUAUCAAAACCAACCAACCAAUAAAACCAACCAACCAACCAACCAACAGAAAACAUUCAGGAGAGUGAAAAUGCCGUCUGUGCAGACAGAUUUUCCUUAUUUUAGGAAAUGGUUGGAGUCAGUGCAUUUGAAGUUCAAUGAGUGAGCUUUAUCCUAAAAAAGCUGCUUCCAGGCCUGAUAUGUUCCCUGAAACAUAAGGACAUUCCUCAUUCAAGGCUGUUUGCAAAGAUCUAAAUGAAGGCUGUUAUUAAACAAACAAAACCCCAACCUCUCACUAAUGUCAGAAAUCAGAAAAUGAAUUAUCUAAGUAUUGUCUACUGACUAGCUAGCACUAUGCAGGUAUGAGUAUCAGAGUUCUUCUCUGCUCUGUAAGCUAUAAUCCUCCAGGCUCUUUAGCCUAGGGGUAGAAAAUGGAGUCCUCACCAGGCGCGGUGGCUCACGCCUGUAAUCCCAGCACUUUGGGAGGCCUAGGUGGGCAGAUCAUGAGGUCAGGAGUUUGAAACCAUCCUGGCCAAUAUGGUGAAACCCUGUCUCUACUAAAAAUACAAAAAUUAGCCAGGCGUAGUGGCGCCUGCUUGUAGUCCCAGCUACUCAGGAGGCUGAGGCAGAAGAAUCGCUUCAACCCAGGAGGCAGAGGUUGCAGUUAGCGCAGAUCCUGCAGCUGCACU
ensembl:lncRNA LINC01992 long intergenic non-protein coding RNA 1992